rnacentral:rRNA from 1 species
UACGGAGGGAGCUAGCGUUGUUCGGAAUUACUGGGCGUAAAGCGCACGUAGGCGGCUUUGCAAGUUAGAGGUGAAAUCCCGGAGCUCAACUCCGGAACUGCCUUUGAUACUAUUGGUCUUGAAUGUUGUUGAGGUGGGCGGAACGGGUCAUGUAGCGGUGAAAUGCAUAGAUAUGACCCGGAACACCGAUUGCGAAGGCAGCCCGCUAAGCAACUAUUGACGCUGAGGCACGAAAGCGUGGGGAUCAAACAGG